UUCGUAGUUGUGGUUCUAUUCCGAUGACUGGACAUCAUCGAAGACUUAAAGAAAAGCUUGGAAAAGAUACAAGUCUUGCAGACUUGUAUCAACACACUCAUAAAAGGAAAAAUGGAGAUGGAGCAUAUGUUUGUCCAAAAGCUCAAAAAGUUGUGGAUACAAUGAAUGAAUUGCGACAGACUCAGAUUGA